rnacentral:rRNA from 2 species
GGGUGGUAAUGCCGGAUGCUCCAGUUGAUCGCAUGGUCUUCUGGGAAAGCUUUCGCGGUAUGGGAUGGGGUCGCGUCCUAUCAGCUUGACGGCGGGGUAACGGCCCACCGUGGCUUCGACGGGUAGCCGGCCUGAGAGGGCGACCGGCCACAUUGGGACUGAGAUACGGCCCAGACUCCUACGGGAGGCAGCAGUGGGGAAUAUUGCACAAUGGGCGCAAGCCUGAUGCAGCGACGCCGCGUGAGGGAUGGAGGCCUUCGGGUUGUAAACCUCUUUUAUCGGGGAGCAAGCGAGAGUGAGUUUACCCGUUGAAUAAGCACCGGCUAACUACGUGCCAGCAGCCGCGGUAAUACGUAGGGUGCAAGCGUUAUCCGGAAUUAUUGGGCGUAAAGGGCUCGUAGGCGGUUCGUCGCGUCCGGUGUGAAAGUCCAUCGCUUAACGGUGGAUCCGCGCCGGGUACGGGCGGGCUUGAGUGCGGUAGGGGAGACUGGAAUUCCCGGUGUAACGGUGGAAUGUGUAGAUAUCGGAAAA